rnacentral:tRNA from 2 species
UGCCGGAUCGUCUAAUGGUAGGACACACCCCUCUGGAGGGUGGGAUCUAGGUUCGAGUCCUAGUCCGGCAA